UCACAUAGGUUCCCGUACGAUCUGAAAAGUUAAGCAACAUCGAGUCUGGUCAGUACCACGAAGGGUGAACGCUUGGGAAUACCAGAUGCAGUCA